rnacentral:snRNA from 1 species
GUGCUUGCUUGGGCAGCACUUAUACUAAAAUUGGAACGAUGCAGGGAAGAUUAGCAUGGCCCCUGGGCAAGGAUGACAAACAAAUUUGUGAAGCAUUCCAUAUUUUU